CUGCAGUGUAGUCAUUGGAAUAUGAAGUGUGAGUAGUGGAUGAUGGCCUGCAAGGAUUAGUCCUAACUUGUUGUUGAUGAUCACCACCGUUUUGCAAGGCGUUUGAGGCUGUGAGGGAAAGUGACACAUCAGGCAAAGCAAGAGAGAGGUUGAGAAUCUCUAAUUUUGGCUUCUUCUCCCUAUUACUCUCUCUCUCAACAACUUCCUCAAGGGAUCUCUUUGAAGAAUCUUCUCUUGGCUCACUCAGGCUGAGGAAAUCUCUUUCCACCCAUUUCCCAUCUUGAUAUGAAUUCUCACAUACCACAACCUCUUUACCUUUGUGGCUCAUUUUCUCCAACAAGCUUUUACCAGGAAUCUCUUUCUCAGCAAGAUUGAAUUUUGGGUUGUCACAAAGGUAGCUGAG
rnacentral:lncRNA from 1 species